CCAUGUACUUCUUCCUGACAAACUUUGCAGGUCUGGAGAUCUUCUACUUUUUCACCAUUGCCCCUCUGACUCUGGCCAAUGUCCUACCCAUGGGGAGAAACCUCAUUUCCCUGCCCGGCUGUGGAGGCCAGAUGUUCUUCUUCAUCUUCCUGGGAAGGGCUGACUGCAUCCUGCUGGCCGUCAUGGCCUUUGACUGGUUUGUGGCCAUCUGUUGUCCUCUCUGUUACGGCCUCAUCAUGAGCUGGAGGUUGUGUGUCCAGCUGACCCUGGGGUCUCUGCUGUUGGGGUUCUUCUUAGCCAUGCAGCUGACCGUGCUUAUCUUCCAACUCCCUUUAUGCAGCAGCAAAGAAAUCAGCACGUUCUACUGUGAUGUCCUCCCUGUCAUGAGACUGGCCUGUGCAGAUACCUGGGUCCAUGAGGCCACUAUGUCUAUGGUCAGCACCACCUUUCUCACCGUCCCCUUCCUGCUCAUCACUCUUUCCUAUGUCUCCAUCAUGGCCGCCAUCUUGAAGAUUUGCUCUGCAGAGGGGAGGCACAAGGCCUUCUCCACCUUUCCUCCCACCUGACUGUGGUUCUCCUCCAGGACUGAUGUACACGCCUCGCCUUCUUGUGUCCCAGCUCUAGCUACUAUCCUGAGAGGGGCCAGGCAGUGUCUGUGGUUUACACCUUCAUUACCCCUGUGCUGAACCCUUUGAUCUACAGCAUGAGGAACACAGAACUUAAGGAUGCUUUGAAGAGAGCAAUGACGAGGGUCCCGCUGCUCUAAACAC